rfam:Aedes albopictus isolate Foshan contig149238, whole genome shotgun sequence.
UAAACGGUCCUUUUCAGGACCACCGAAAAUCUUUCCAAAAGAGAAUU